GGCAGAGCCUGUGCCCCAGAGAAGCCUUCACCCAGUCAGAGUAGAAACAGAACGUUAAGGCAUCUCCAUUCCCUCCAUCGUGGACUGUGCCGAGAUCCAUUCAUAGGAAUCCUCAGAAGUUUAUAGAGGGUUGGAAUACUAGACCCCCACCAAGGUUGCCAAUCAAAAUUUUACCUUUGUAUUGGCCUUUUCCCCUUCCUUGUUUUACUCUCCUCUCACUCCUUCUCUCUGGAGUCAAGAUUCUGGUCAACUAGAAGGACCUGAACUCAAACUGAGCCCUUGGAAGAGAAAACAGACUAAAACCAUGGUGAUAAGAACAUCUCCACCCUACAAAACGUAGCAUCCUGAAAGGGGACUGCUUAUUUAUCUGAUGACAGAAGGAUUGCAUUGUGGUGAAGUGAUGAUCAGACCAGGCAUACAAAGUGCUUAUGCUUUUCCAGGCUGUCAUGAGUGGAGGGUUGUGAUAAGGAACAUGCAAAAGUUGAAGUGUUAGAUAUCUAAGUUUCUUAAAUCUGCCAACUCAAGUCAUAUGGAGCAAACCAGGAGCUUCCAUGGCUGAGUUAAAGAUAUUCAUAUUUCUUGAAUAUAAGAUAAGAAUACUAUGGAGAAAACCAAGUCAUGGAUUUAAUCAUGAGUGGCAAGGCUCAAAAAAUACUGAACACAUAAUUUUUAAAAACAUUUUAUGCCAAGUCCUCAGGCCUCUAAGGAAAAUAGUACAAGUCAGAGGUCUGUGGUUGGGUCAUUCUACUAGAUUACUGUGAGGAUCUGGAACCUCCAAAUUUCUCAGUAAUCCCCUGGACAGGGUGAAGGACUUUAACCCCUGCCACUUGUUGGAAGAAAGCAGUGCAAGAUACGGCUUGCCUUUGUCAGGACCCAUGUAUGCUUCUGUCUGCUUCUGCUUAUUGCCUCUUGGACCAAUAAUUAGAGUCACUUCUCAGCACAUACCACCAGGACAAGAUAAUUCCUGCUGUAAGGAAAGGCCUUAUUUGUAGAAUAAUUGGAGUUCCUAGGGAAUAAAGACAAGAAGGAAAACAGAGGAACACAUGAGGGAAGAGAACUUAGUGAUGCUGGACUUGUGAUCAGAAUGAAAGACGUCAUAGGGAGAAAUGUAUUGACAUGAGGAUAUUUCUUUAUGAAUUGUGCUUAAUUUUCUUACCUGGGAGAAAUGAAGCUGGCCGUAACACUCAUCUAGGAUGGUUGUUAACUUAUGAACAUGAUACUGGCCUUACUGAAGACAAGGUGAUGUGCUGUGAUUAUCACAGUAUGGUACUGAAGAAGGACACAGAAGGCUACAACAAUAAUGAAAUGGGGAUCUUCCCAACCAAGGGAUUGAACCUGUGUCUUCUGCAUAUCCUACAUUGGCAGAACAUAUAUUUGUGGCAACAUCAAAUGGAGCCUGGCUCAUGGCUUCAUGUGUGAGCCCCAACCAGGCUGAGAGUACAGAUGCUGCGCAUAGGUCUCCCUGAGAGAGUCAGCCUCAAGGACCUUCAGGGCAUCCCCAGUGCUUCAGUGAUAAAGAAUUCACCUGCAAUGCAGGAGCAGCAGGAGAUGUGGCUUCAGUCCUGGAUGGGGAAGAUCCCCUGGAGGAGGGCAUGGCAGCUGACUCCAGUAUUCUUGCCUGGAGAAUCCCAUGGACAGAGGAGCCAGUCAGGCUACAGUCCAUGGGGUCUCAAAGAGUCCAACACAACUGAAGAGAUUGUGCAUGCACGGAUAUGACCUUAAAAAUAUUUGGGGUCAAGUUUUAAAUGACUUUCUCAGGGAAUGAGGAAACUGAUUUUGUUUUUAUUUUUUACUCAGAGCUGACGUUAGCGGUUCCGGAGCAGACGCCAUUCCUUCUUCUCCUCAUCCUCUCUUCCUAAUCCUCCCCCUACUAUUACUACUAGUUUACACAUAAAAAGUGGCAUUUUUGUGGCCCUGGCUAUUUAAAGAGCAUCUCUAAUUCAAAGUCCUUUAUCAAUCAUGUUUUUUGCUUAUCUCUUGAUGGCUGCAUGGAACUAAUAAAGCUAAAAUUCUAGGCUUUGGA
ensembl:lncRNA